rnacentral:rRNA from 1 species
GAUGAACGCUGGCGGCGCGCCUAACACAUGCAAGUCGAACGAUUAAACCGCCCUUGGGCGGAUAUACAGUGGCGAACGGGUGAGUAACGCGUGACCAACCUUCCCCCCGCAUCGGGACAACCCGGGGAAACCCGGGCUAAUACCGGAUAUGCCGGGUAUGGCGCAUGUCAUACCCAGGAAAGCUUUUGCGGCGGGGGAUGGGGUCGCGUCCCAUCAGGUAGACGGCGGGGUAGUAGCCCACCGUGCCAACGACGGGUAGCCGGGUUGAGAGACCGACCGGCCACAUUGGGACUGAGAUACGGCCCAGACUCCUACGGGAGGCAGCAGUGGGGAAUCUUGCGCAAUGGGGGAAACCCUGACGCAGCGACGCCGCGUGCGGGAUGGAGGCCUUCGGGCCGUGAACCGCU